rnacentral:rRNA from 1 species
CCUACGGGUGGCAGCAGUAGGGAAUUUUCGUCAAUGGGCGCAAGCCUGAACGAGCAAUGCCGCGUGAACGAGGAAGGUCUUCGGAUCGUAAAGUUCUGUUGAAGGGGAAAAAGAGCGGAGAGAGGAAAUGAACUCCGAUUGAUAUUACCCUUCGAGGAAGUCACGGCUAACUACGUGCCAGCAGCCGCGGUAAUACGUAGGUGGCGAGCGUUAUCCGGAAUGAUUGGGCGUAAAGGGUGCGUAGGCGGCCUGUUAAGUCUGGAGUGAAAGGUACCGGCUCAACCGGUACAGGCUCUGGAAACUGGCGGGCUAGAGAGCAGGAUAGGGCGGUGGAACGCCAUGUGUAGCGGUAAAAUGCGUAGAUAUAUGGAAGAACACCAGUGGCGAAGGCGGCCGCCUGGCCUGUUGACUGACGUUGAGGCACGAAAGCGUGGGGAGCAAAUAGGAUUAGAUACCCCGGUAGUC